rnacentral:tRNA from 1 species
CGGGUGUAGUUCAAUGGUAGAACCAGAGCCUUCCAAGCUCUUGACGCGGGUUCGAUUCCCGUCACCC